rnacentral:lncRNA from 1 species
UUUGGAACAAAGGUAUUAAAGGUGAUUUUUUUUUUUUUUUUUUUUUUUUGGUCUUUUUGCCAUUUCCUGGGCCGCUCCUGUGGCAUAUGGAGGUUCCUAGGCUAGGGGUUGAAUCGGAGCUGUAGCCACCGGCCCACGCCAGAUCCUUAACCCACUGAGCAAGGCCAGGGAUCGAACCCGCAACCUCAUGGUUCCUAGUCGCAUUUGUUAACCACUGAGCCACGAUGGGAACUCCGCCAAGUGCGUCUUGAUCCAUUCUUCUGAGCAUGCCUCUUAUGAUGCUAGGAAGGUCUAACUCUGAAUUAUGUUUGAUAUUCAGGGGAGAACAAUCUGGCAGUGAGCUGACUUCUACCAAAGCAACCUGGAUCAGGAAGCUGGUGGAGGAGAGCCUGGAACCCCUUUGUGGUUAAAUGAGGUGCUUUUCCUGAUGGGCAAAAUACACAGCAGGGGCCGAGGGUGCUGCAAGCUUAAGGAUGUAAGAUGAUGACAACCAUAAGCAAAAGAACACAAUUUGAAGAUCUGGUGAGGGGCCUAAGACCUCAUGACAAGGUGUGUAAAUGGGGGAGCCAGAUGAAAGCCAGGUCCUUUGACUCCUAAGCAUGAACUUCACCCAGGGCUCAUAUUUAGAAGAUGGACCAUCCAAGCACCUCAAGGUACGCAGUCAAGAGAUGAUAAUGAUUUUAACCACAGUAGUGAACAAUGGAAGAAGAUAUAUCCCUAGCCAUCUGAUUUUCAGAAAUAGAGGUGCAAGGUCAAGAGAUGAUGGUGCCUGUAACAACAGUGUUAACCUUCAAGUUCUGCCAGUGUUCAGGUAGCAGUGAUGGACCCAUAAAGGUGGAAGUGAUGAAAGGUAUUUGCCUGUGUCCCAGUAAGAAAAAUUGUGUCCUUAAAUAUAUCUGUCACAGUGUGUUUUUUUUUAGAUUCCUGUCAGAGGAUCAUAAUGACUCUAAUAAUGGUGGUUAAUGGGACUUUACUGGUAUCCAGUGAGUGAUUAUGUGAGUCCUAGCAUGCUAUAGCCCCUUCUGACCUUCAGAAAUCUAUGUAAAUGGUGAUGGAGUCCCUAACUAUGUUUUGUGUUACUAUGUUUUGUUUUGUUUUUGCAGAUAUUCAGGUAAGAAAUUUUAUUGUUCUCACACAUACUACUAAAAAUUAGCCCUUACUGUUUACUAGUUUAGAGAUCAUUUGUUUCUAACUCUGGUCAAGACUGGGGGAUUUGUAAGUUUUGAGGUAAGUUAUCAUGCAUAGUUGUCUCUCAUCUUAGUAUUGACUAUGGGGUUUUUGUAGGUAUCCAGUCAAGAGACUGUAGUAUGGGCCUAGAUAUCCUGCAUGUAUCCAGGUAAAGUUCAUAGUUUCUCUAAUGCUGGUAGUUCCCAUGAGAUGUUGCAUUAUCUAGAUUGAAAAAAGCGUGUCCCUAGCUUUGGUAAUUGCCAUGGGUCUUACAGAUUCCACUCAUGGUAAAAAAUUAACAAUGAAAAUUAACAAUGGUAGUGAACAUGGGACUUUGCUGGUAGAGAGAUAAGAGAUGGUGUGAGCAUUUGCAUAUUAGAGAUCUUCAGAUUUCCAGAUAGCUAGGUAAAAGAUGAUGGUACUUGUAAUAUUUUUGGUUACACAGGGGUGUUUUGUUUUGAUUUGAUUUUUUCAUAGAUAUGUAGGUGAGUUCUUUGCUAAAAUAUAGGUAAGAAAUGGUGUGACAUUUACAUAUUAGAGACCAUGUGAAUUUCAGAUAUCUAGGUAAUUGUUGGUGGUAAUCAUACCUCUGCUGAUCUAUUUUUAGGUUUGCAGGGAAGAAAUUAAUUUGCCCACCAAUAUUAGUAAGCAUGAAAUUUUAUAUAUUCUUGUUCAGAGGUAGUAUGUGUUUUAUACUCCUAGUGAUGGAUCAAUAAGAUAGAAAUCCAGAUAAUUUAUCAUACCAUCCAUCAUGUGUUAUUGACCAUGGGAUUUUUGCAGGUAUCCCUUUUAGAGAGGAAUGUAUCUCCUACUAGGGUUUAACCUCCCCAGCUCUACAAGUACCUAGGUGGUAUUGAUGAAUAGCAAACAAAGAAAUGAUCAAGGGAAUUUGCCGAUGUCCAGGUAGUAUAAGACUAGUACUAAACACAUAUUUCACAAUGUGCUUUUCAUAUUCCUUUCAAGAGGUUAGGAUAAGCCUAACAAUGGUCGCUAAUGGGGGACAUUGCAGGUAUCCAGGUAAGUGAUGACAUAGGCUUAAGCCAUAGCAGAAGCCAUUUGAUCUUCAUAUAAGCAGGUUAAUGAUGACAGUGUCCCUAACAGUUGUUGACAUGUUUGUUGGUUUUGCAGAUGAGGAAAUUUAAAAAAUAAUUGAGUGUUAGAAAUCAUGAGUUCUCACUUUUUGUAUUUUUGAGAAAUUUUUUGUUUAACCCUAUGGGUUUUGAGGAAUUGCUGUAUCUAGGUAAUAAUGAUGAUGUUCCUCACCAGACUACCAUUCAUGGGGUUUUUGUGGGUAUCUGGUUUUCAUCUGACAACAGUGUUGACCUUGGGGUACUGUAUCAGGUAAAGCUUAUAUGUUCCAUAAUGAUAGAAGUGACCAAGGUUAUUUGCAGGUAUUCUGGUAGAAAAGGUUCUCUUUAACACAUAGUUCAUAAUGUGUUGUCUUAUUCCUGUCAAGAUAUGGUGAAACUAACAAUGAGCUUUCACCUGGGACUUUUCUAAUCCUCAGGUGAGUGGUGAUGUGGGUUUCCACACUACAAACCUUGUGAUCAUCACAAGUCUAAGUCAGCAAUGAUGGUGUCCCUAAUACUUGUGUUGCUAUGAUUUUUCCCCAGGUAUCACGUAAGUACCCAGGUAAGAAAUCAUAUGACACUGACAAUGUAUGUAUUGCUAGUAUACAGGUAAGAAAUUAUAUUACAUUUACACAUUAGAGACCUUCUUAUUUUUCAGACAUAUAGGUCAUCAAUAAUGGUGUCAAGAACUCUUAUACUAACAUUGUUUUUUGACAGGUAUAUAGGUAAGAAAUUAAUUUUACUGAAUUUGUGUCUAAGAUGUGUAUUAGAGUGUUGAGGGACUGCCAUAUCCACAUAAUGAUGAGGGUUUUCCCCAGCCCUGUAGUACCUAGGAUUUUUGCAAGUACCUAGUCAGUAGGGGAUAUUGUUACUAACAAAGGUAUAAUCAGUGGGAUACAACAAGUAUCUAGAUGGAGUUAACGGAUCUUGCAGUGAAGGAAGCCACCACCUUUAUAUAUAGGCAUCCAGGAAGAAAAAGAUGUAUAUAUAGAAACAUUUGUAACAAUGUGUUUGUCAUUUUAGUCAAGAGCACAUGAUGAACUUUACCAUGGCUCUUUACAGAGAUUUUUCUGGUAGCCUGGUAAGUGAUAAUAUGGGCCUGAACCAGGGCCCACAGACCAUCUGAUCUUCAGAUACCUAAGUAAGGGACAACAGUGUCCCUGACCCUUAAUGUGUUUUUUAUUAUAGCUAUUUAGAUAAGAAAUGAUAGAGUCCUUACCAUUUCUAGAACUUAUGAGAUUUCAUGUUUUAUAUUUGAGAGAAAAUCUGUUGUACCCUCCUGGUAUCUGUUUAUACCAUAUACCAGGUAAUAUGGUAUAACACCUGUUACCAUAUUAUACAGGUAAUUAUGGUGUAAUAACCAUGGGGUUUUGGCAGGUAUACAGUUAGGAAAUGAUGAUGUUACCCCAGAAAUGAUGAUCUUGGAAUGCUGCUAAUAAGCAGGUAGAAUGGAUGUGUCCCUCAAUGAUAGAAAUAAACAAGGUUAUUUUGCAGGUAUCCUAGUAGAA